rnacentral:rRNA from 1 species
UACGUAGGGUGCAAGCGUUGUCCGGAUUUAUUGGGCGUAAAGAGCUCGUAGGCGGUCUGUCGCGUCGGAUGUGAAAACCCAGGGCUCAACCCUGGGCCUGCAUUCGAUACGGGCAGACUAGAGUAUGGCAGGGGAGACUGGAAUUCCUGGUGUAGCGGUGAAAUGCGCAGAUAUCAGGAGGAACACCGGUGGCGAAGGCGGGUCUCUGGGCCAACACUGACACUGAGGAGCGAAAGCCAGGGGAGCAAACGAG